rnacentral:rRNA from 1 species
GACAGAGGCCUCGAGCGUUAGGCGGAAUCACUGGGCUUAAAGCGUGUGUAGGCGGGCCCGUAAGUGUCUUGUGAAAUCCCACGGCUCAACCGUGGAACUGCUGGGCAUACUGCGGGUCUUGGGCCAACUAGGGGCAGCCGGAACAAGCGGUGGAGCGGUGAAAUGCGUAGAUAUCAAGAGGAACACCUGAGGCGAAGGCGGGUUGCUAGGCUGACACUGACGCUGAGGCGCGAAAGCCAGGGGAGCAAACGGG